rnacentral:rRNA from 1 species
GACGAACGCUGGCGGCGUGCUUAACACAUGCAAGUCGAACGAAGAGCGAUGGAAGCUUGCUUCUAUCAAUCUUAGUGGCGAACGGGUGAGUAACGCGUAAUCAACCUGCCCUUCAGAGGGGGACAACAGUUGGAAACGACUGCUAAUACCGCAUACGAUCUAAUCUCGGCAUCGAGGAUAGAUGAAGGGUGGCCUCUACAUGUAAGCUAUCACUGAAGGAGGGGAUUGCGUCUGAUUAGCUAGUUGGAGGGGUAACGGACCACCAAGGCGAGGAUCAGUAGCCGGACUGAGAGGAUGGGCAGCCACAUUGGGACUGAGACACGGCCCAGAGGGCUACGGGAGGCAGCAGGGGGGAAACUUGCGCAAGCGGCGGAAGACUGUCGGAGCAACGCCGAGGGAGGGAUGACGGCCGUCGGGUUGGAAAGGUCUGUUAAUCGGGACGAAAGGGCUUCUUGCGAAUAGUGAGAAGGAUUGACGGUACCGGAAUAGAAAGCAACGGCUAACUACGUG